rnacentral:rRNA from 1 species
GACAGAGGUGCCGAGCGUUAGGCGGAAUCACUGGGCUUAAAGCGUGUGUAGGCGGGUCGUUAAGUGCCUUGUGAAAUCCCACGGCUCAACCGUGGAACUGCUGGGCAUACUGCCGAUCUUGAGCCAACUAGGGGCAACCGGAACAAACGGUGGAGCGGUGAAAUGCGUAGAUAUCGUUUGGAACGCCAAUGGUGAAAACAGGGUUGCUGGGGUUGUGCUAACGCUGAGACACGAAAGCCAGGGGAGCGAACGGG